rnacentral:rRNA from 1 species
AUGGGUUUUGAAACGCGCAAGCCAUUGGAGGCGACUCGGGGCGACGCGGGCAGCGAUCCCGUCCCCCCCGGCGGUGCUGUCGCGGCGACGACAUGGGUGCUGGUGCGGUGGGGUCCCUGUGGCGCCCCGGCGUCCCCUGCCCCGGCGCGCUCCCCUGGGGCGGGUCAUGCAGGCUGCGGUGGCCGGUUCUGGGCUCUGGCGGAGGAUACGUCCGACGAGGAGGAUGAGCUUUCCUCACCACGACUGGCUCCUCCCCCGUCGGGGGCGACGUUGGGUGAUUUUGUGCUGGCGGUGACUCAUGGCGGGGCUGGUCGGGGUGACCGGCGCUGCCGUUUUGCGCCGGGUGGUGGCGGUUCGCGGGCGACGGUGGUGCGCUGCUGGUGGCUAGAGGCGCAAGCGGACGUGGACGCGCGGGGGUCUCGUCUGGCGGCUCUGCUAUCUCCCUGGUGUUCUGGGCCCGCGGUGGCCCCGGUGACGCCCGAGGAGUGGCCUGCCCUCCCCGCCCUCCCCUCAACGGCAUCGGUGGCGGCGGCGGCGGAGCGGGUGGCGGAGGUGGCUGACGUGCUAGGGUUGGCGCCGACCGCCCCUUCCUUGGGCCUGCUGGGGGCCUCUGGGCCUGGGCUGGCCCAGCUCUGUCCUCUGGUCGACGGGCCGCCUGUUGUGGGGCCCUCGACGUUUGCGGGGGGACAUUCGGUUCUUGGUGCUGGACCUGGCCCUGCCAGCCCACGCGGUCGGCCUGCCCUGGGAGGGGCCCGGCGGCCCGCCUGCCAGCGCUAUAUAUGGCUACGUCGGGGCCUCCGCGACCCCUCGCUAGGGUUUCCGGCUCGUUCUAGUGAGGUGCGGCGCCACCGUCUCCCCAUCAGAUCUCUCGUUCCCCUCUCCCCUCCUCCCCUACUCACUCUGUCCUUUGCCGAGGCGACGGCCAUGGGCGACCAGCGCGCAGACAAGCCCCCGAUGGAGCCUCCGCUCUCCGAGGAGGAAUGGCGGCGCGAGAAGGCCCUACGGGCGCAGGCGAAGCGUGGUCAACGGGCCAAGGCGGCUGGGCAUGCGGACGGCGACGGUGGCUUUGAGCAUGGUCAAGACGGCGGUGUUGGUCGUGGUUACGGUGGCUACCAGGGACAUGACUCAGGAUCUGGUUACCACGGGCGCGAGGGGGAUUGGGGUCCUCCUCCACCCUGGUGGGGUCAGCAAGAGAAGAAGCAGAAGCGCAAGCAUGGCGUGCGGCGCCGCGAGCUGGAGCGCAAGCAAGAGCACCCCCUUUGCGGUGGAGGUCAUGGGGACCUGCUGGCAAAAAAGCCACGGGCUUCGGCUGCACCGCUUGCGGUGGUCGCGCCCGAGGGACACGCCUCGGCUUAUUGCCCUUCUCGGGGCAAGCAGCCGCACCUCCAGAUCAUGGGCAGCGCCAUUCCAGGCGAAGGAUUUUUCUGCAUGGAGUUCGAAGAAGAAGAGAUGGCGGAGGGUGACGACCUUAUAACCGCCAAUGGUGCCAUUCUGUUAGCGGAGCCGGGGAGGCUUUCGCUGUGUACGCUCAAGCAGGAGCUGAAGCACAUGGUGGCUGGAGACUGGGACUGGCAGAUAGCACAAGUUGGCGACAAUGACUUUGCGGUGGUCUUCCCCUCUGCAGAUCUAUUGGAUAUGGCCAAGACAAGUGGCAAGCUUUUCCUCUCCAUCAACGACAUUACGGUGCUGGUUCGUGACUCGAUUCAGGAGACGAUAGUGCCCCUCUCCAUGCCGGAGGUGUGGCUCCGUCUUCAUGGCAUACCCAAGAAAUAUCGUCGUGUCGAGCGCCUGAUGGAGGGGCUCAAGAUGCUGGGCAGACCUAUCGUGGUGGACGAGCUUUCCCUCAUCCGGGUGGGACCGGUGAGGAUGAAGUUUGGGUGCAGAGCCCCUGACAAGAUGAAUGGUUUUGUGCAAGUUUGGUUUAAUCAAGAGGGUUACGACAUUCGGGUCGAGGUGGAGCGACUCCCAAAGCUCCCUGGCGACGGGCCGGCGGCGCCUGGCCCUAACAUCCCACCCUCCCACCCGGGCGACAAGAGUGCUGGACCGCCUGGUCCGGGGACCGGAGGGUCAGCUCGGCUACAGCAGCAAGAUCCAGGGACCCAGGGCAGGCAACACACUGCUCUGAUGUUGUCGGUCGCGUCGUUGCGGCUGCCGCCCCAGCCUCCCCCAGUUUGCUCGGCUCGGACUCGGGCGUGGUGCUCAAUGAGCCUUCCAUUCGCACCCCCGGUGUCGAGCCGUCACAGUUCGGGGGGUUCUGGGCGUGCCCCCAAGAAGACGGCCGGACGGAAGCCUCCUGUCAAGCAAGCUGCGCUGGCGCUCCCUUCGCCGGUGGCGCCGGCGUGCGUGGAUCUUCAGGCUGCGCUGGGCUCCGCAGGCACGGCAACCAAGGCAUGGCGCUCUCGGGCAUCUCCGGCCCCUCAGCGGGCCCCAAGUGCUCGGGCCAAGGAGGCGCUGGGUGAUCUGUCUUCCUUGGAGAGUGCUCAGCUUUGCCUGGCGGACAAGAACUUGGAGAUCUUAGGUACGAACCGUGGGGAGCUUGUGACCCUUAUCCGUGCUCGUGAGGAGGCCCAAGCAGCAUUAGCAGAGGCCCCUGCUGCGGCCAAGGCCAGGGAGGCCGAUUCCAUGGCGCUGGCGGUCUCCUUUAACCCAGAGGCUUCGGGGGCUAGAUACACGUGGACUAACAAACAACUCAACCCGGUUCGGAGCGUCCUGGACCGUGUUUUGGUUACGGCUGACUGGGAGAUGAUCUUUCCCAUGUGCACGCUGGUUGCUGAAACACGCAUUGGCUCUGACCAUGUCCCAUUGAUCUCGGCCUCUGGGGAGGAUAGGAUUAAGCGUAGCCCACGUUUCUACUUCGAAACAGGGUGGUUCGAGGUAGAGGGGUUCAUUCCUCUGCUCCUCGCGCGUUGGGAACAAGCUAGGGCUGCGGCUGGCCGCUCCAGAGGCUCUCUUGACAUUUGGGUGUCGGCGGCAGGGACCUUGCGUGGUUUCCUUCGAGGGUGGGGCGCAAAUCACGGUAGUGACGCUAAACGAGCUAGGGAAGCUCUUAUCGAGGAAAUCAAGUCCCUUGACACCCAAGCCGACUCUAGAUCCUUUUCGGAAGCGGAGUGGGCUAACCGUUAUGCCCUCGAGAAUCAAGUGCUGGCCAUCCUCAGGGAAGAGGAGGAAUAUUGGCGCCGGAGGGGUGGCGUCAAGUGGAUUACCAAGGGGGGCUCUAAUACGGGCUAUUUUCAUGCAUUCGCCAACGGCUGCAAGAGGAAAUGUUCGAUCCUGAGAUUGCAAUCGGACCAGGGGGUUCUGGUCAGUCAAGCCGAAAUUUCGCGGCACAUCUACGAUUUCUUCCUUAACCUGUUGGGAACAGCGGACGAAAAGCCCCUUCAUCUCCGUGCAGACUUUUGGGAGGAAGAAUCACGUGUGUCGCAAGUCGAGAAUGAUGGCCUGGCCUUAUCCUUCUCCACGAGGGAGAUCGAUGAUGCGCUUGGCUCGAUGAAGAUCGAUACCGCACCAGAGCCGGACGGCUGGCCGGUGUCUUUCUUCCGGCGGUUUUGGCCGGCGCUCAAGGACAUUUUCUAUGAUAUUAUAAACGGGUUUGCGCUAGGCACAGUAGACAUCUCGCGCCUCAACUUCGGCGUCAUUAGCCUCAUCCCUAAAACUUGGACACCAUUGGGGAAACGGCGUGAUGCAGAUCGGAUGAUGGAGGCCAUGGAGCGGAUCCGCACGAUUCAGCUCGAAGCACGACACUAA